CUGUGCUGUAGUGGGUGUGGCAGACCCCUGGGCUAACAGCCCAAGGGAUGCACCUCAAUGGCCCCCACCUGUGUCCGUAUUAGCAUGCCUGGACCAGCUCAGAACAACAGCCCCCACCAAUGUCUCAGUCUCUGGAGAGGAUCCUCCUCUCACCAAGAUGCCCCCAGAGCCCACCAGGCUCCAGUUAUCUUCAAUUAUGAAUUUAAAAAAUGUUAUUUCUGUCUUCACUAGACCCAUCAACAAGAGCGGUUGUCUUUUCAUUUUGUUGAUGGUUUCCUUUGCUGUGCAGAAGCUUUUCAGUUUGAGUCAAGUCAUAAG
rnacentral:lncRNA from 1 species